rnacentral:tRNA from 1 species
GCCUAGUUAGCCUAGUGGUUGGUAGUGCGUCUGCCUUGUAAGCGCUAGGCCGCGGGUUCGAUUCCCGCCCGGGGCG